GAGACACUUUAGGAAUGAGGAGGGGCGCGGAGGAGCUUCCCCGGGGCGGAGGGACACAGCGCAGGCACUUUGCGGGACACGAAGGCACAGUGCUCUACGUUGGUUCCUUAUUUGCUUCUGUCAUGGCCUCUGCAUGAAAAACCUCCAAAAGCCCUCCCUAACUACCCCAACAAAUAUGUAGAGCGAAGUUGUAUGAUUGGACUCCUAGAAAGGAAAAUACGAUCUUAGGUCGCUAAAGCUGUGUGCUUGAAGGGGCCUCCUGAUCCUCUGUGAUAUUCUUUGGACUGGGACACAAUCUGAUACCAGCUUCAGGACCAAGACUGCCCAGUGACUGAGGAUGGAGGCUGGAGCCUCAGUCUGUGUAGAUGAUCAAGGACAACACUCCCUAAAGACAGUUCGGCAUCUGACUUGGAGCUGACGGAGGAGGAACUUGGGAUCCAGGGGUGAAGUCAACCUGGUCUAAUGGAGGAGGCAUUCUAGUCAAAUCAAACGGAGGAGACAGGUAACAGAAUGCAUUAUUUCUCUUUAUAGCUUUUACU